UGGGAAGAUGGCGGCGGCGGCGGCGGCGGGUGCCGGCGGCCGGGCCGCGGUGCGGGGGCGGCGGCGACGGGGCCGGCCCGCGGCCGAGGAGGAGCAGGACGCGGUGGUGCUGUCGGUGGCUGAGUGCCCGGUGUGCCGGCAGGCGCUGGUGGAGGCGGUGACGCCGCCCUGCCGCCACUCGCUCUGCCUCGCCUGCUUCCAGCGCUGCCUGCAGGGCCCGGGCCUCUGCUGCCCGCUGUGCCGCAGCCGCCUCUCCACACGGGCCCGGCGGCAGCAGGCCGAGCCCGCAGCCACCACGGCCGCCGGAGCAGCAGGCGGGGAGCAGCGGCCGCAGGACCAAGACUUUAUAUUCAGAGCACCCAUUAAAUUAAGCAAAACAGGAGAACUCCGAGAAGAAUAUGAAAGCCAGCUAAGGAAGCUGAGAGAAGAGAAGCUACAAGAAGAGAAGACAUCUGAGGAUCUGAUUCACAAGUUCAUUCUAGAUGACAUGGACGUAGGGAAAAGAAAAAUGGAGGAACAGCAGAAAAAGGAUGAAUCUGUAGUGCUGAAAGGGAACCAAGACUGUUUUCCUGAACGUCUCUCGGAUUCUGAGAAUGAAGAACCAUUCCAGGGCAAGCAAACACAUCGGUCAGCUUUUGUUUCCAAGACCAGUGCCUACUCCUUUGCUCUCCUUUCAGGGAAUUUAAUCUCCAAGGUGGAGAGGAGUCAGAGCUGCAACGACACCAUUCAGGAGAGAUCCAAGAGCAGGCAGAGAUCAGCCCCAGCCACCAAAACAAAGGUGCUGCCCACCACAGGCAUGUCGACGCCGCUGCUCGGGGUGCUGUCGUCCACGCAGAACAACCGCUGCCUGUCCGCCCCGGACCUGACGGCUGAGAAGCGCCUGGUCCUCAACGCCGUGUCCUCCCUGUCAGCCCUGCACAGGCCAGAGCGAUCCAUCAGCCCUGAGAGCAACGACAGCAUCUCAGAGGAGCUCAACCACUUCAAGCCUAUCGUCUGCUCCCCGUGCACUCCCCCCAAGAGGCUUCCCGACGGCAGAGUCUUGAGCCCCCUCAUCAUCAAAUCCACCCCCAGAAACCUGAACCGGAGCCUGCAGAAGCCAACAACCUACGAGACCAGUCCUAGAAUACUGAAAAAAUGGGAGCAGAUAUUUCAGGAGCGUCAGAUCAAAAAGACUCUCUCUAAAGCAACCCUUACAUCCUUGGCUUUGGAGCCUGGGGAAGACAUUGCGGUUCCUGAUAUCACCAGCUCCAACAUUUGCACUAAGGAGCAGCCACAAGUGCAGGAUGAUCACCUUCCACCUGACGCAACAGGAGAGCCUCGCCCUGAGCUGGAUUUCUUCCCUUCUGUCAGUGAAAUGAAGCUGGGAAGAGGGAGUGAGAAGAACAGAGGUUCACAGGCCUUAACCACUGAUGAUAGUGCUGCUGAACCAGAUGUGAGAUCAAACGUAACCUCCCUAAACAUAACCUCCCUAAACACACGAGUGGCUGAAGUCCCUGAUCUAAAAGUGAAUACGUUCACGGACAAAUCCUGUCUUAGUCUAGGCCCAAAAAUGCUGAGCAGGAGACUCAUGGGCGUCAGCGCAUCACUGCCUGACAGCAGCACACUUGGAGUCCCCAUCAAGCCAUCGGGAAAAAAACAGCUGAAGUAUCUGAACAACAGCGAGUUGAUCAACGUACAGAACAGCACCUGCAAUUCCGUGGGGAACAUCAUCGGGGAACAGCCGCCGCUGCUGCGACGGGGCCGCAAGAGGCGCUGCAAAACAAAGCACUUGGAGCACAACGGCUCCGUCAAAAGACUGAGGCACGUGGCAGGGGAGGUGGGCCUGCCUCCGGAGGUUCGGGACGUGGAGCAGAAGCUCCAGCAAGAGGAGGAGGACAGGAGGUUGGCCCUGCACCUGCAGCGGAUUUUUGACAGCGAGAACAGGACAGUGGAUAGGCGGAAAGUCCGCGUGGAUCGGUAUCUGCUGCGGUCCAAGAGCACUCUGGGUGCCAAGUAGCACUGCUGGAUGAUGUUGCCUUUCUAGAGGACAAUGAGGUUUAUCAGAUUAUCUUAUAGGAAAACUAUUUUUGCCCUCGUUCCACCCACGCAAUUGUUUUUCUGUUUCGGUGGUAAGACAUUUCUAGGUCCAGUUCAGAGAAAAGCCAGCGUCCUUUCAGAUUUAAAAAAACAAAAAGAGAGAGAGAAUGGGAAAAAAUCCUCUGGUCCUCUCUGGUCCUUUGGUCUGAAGGAAUUGUCUGUCAUCCCUGUGAAUACACUACAAGGCCUCCACACACAGCCUGGCACACCUGGGAUCCCCAGCUAGGAGGGUUGUGACCAUGGGGUAUGAGGACCAUCCCUUGCCAAGGGAAAUCUGAGCUCUGCUCAUGGAAAUUGUCUGAGAGUCUUCUCCUCUCUGCCUGCCCCAUUUUCUCCCUCAGGCUGCCUCUGGUUAUGGGGUCAGCCUCUUAUCUGUGCUCUGUAUUUCUUCUGGGGAGUCCUAAACAGAGUCCCCCCCGUAGUACUUCCAAAUGAAUGUAUCUCACUGUCUGCAGCAGCAGUACAGAUCAUUCAUCCCUUUCUUGAAGCAGAAAGCCAAAUGCAGUGAAAAGACAUAAAAUAAGGAUUUUACUGAAAAACCUGGUAGGAAUUUGUAAUUUCAUGUUCAUGACAGGGGAGAGAGCCCAGCUGGAGCAACACGCUGAGCACUGGGAGCUUUUCUCCCAGUGCAUGUCUUUUCCAAACCAAGAGGGUUUCCUGCUUUUCCCUAUAGUGUUCAAGAAAGGGAAACGCUGGCCAGGGAGUUUCUGGAAGGACGUUCUUCCAGCUGCCACGUCUCUUGCUCAGCUAAGAGCUCUCAGCACACCUAAGGCCUGUCCUUGCUUGUUCCAGAGGAGCAUCCAAGAGAUCCAGCACGUUGCCGUGCUCUCCAGGCAGCCAAGAUGGGACGGAAGCCCAGCUGUCCCAAGGGCUGCCCUGCCCCUGCUCCACCUUUCUGCCUUCAGGCUCAAACCAGUAAGAAAGCUCAGGUGAGCGAUACACUAAAAACUUCCAGACAUGAAGCUGAGGCUGGAGCAGAGCUGGCCCAGAGCCUGGGCUUGGUGGAGCAUGUGUUCUCUGCCCAGAUGUGCCAGGACACCCUCUGAGUGUUCAUAACCCUCUUCCAUGGGUUAAUUUCAUGGAUUAUUUCCAGUAACGUGGCUCAGAAGGUACCCUUCCAACUUCCAGUUGCUGCCUUGCAGAGUAUUCACUGGGACCCUGAGGCCAUGGGGACCUUUGUCUGGGGCAGGGGUGUUUUUGGGAUGAGCACAGUGCAGGGGCAAACUUCCCUAUGGAUCUUGUGAAGGGAGGGCAGCCAAUGCACAUAAAUAGAGGGAUCUCAUCUAAGACAGCUGCAUUGCCCAAUUUCCUCUAUCUAAAAAUGGUUGAAUUUUCUCCCUCCAUCUUAAACUGUCAAAAAGAAAACAGGAACUGCAAGGGCCCUGGCAGGCAUUUUUUUUUCCCCUUAAUCGAACUGGAUUUAAAAACAAAAAAAAAAAAAAAAAACAAAAAAAAAGCCAACAGAAAAGAAAAAAAGAAAUCCUAUAUUUUAUUGGGUAAAAUUUAUAUAUUUUAAAUACUAUAUUUCAGCAGAUCGACACUUUUGUUUUGAGAAAUCUUAUAGCAGUGGUUCCAUAAUAUAUAUCUCUAUCUCUGUAUCUCCUUGCCACACAAACUGCUGGAUGGUUGAAGUUGUACCUGGGGCUGGUGAGACUAGGCCUGCUCUGCCUUCCCGGCACUCCGGGCCCUCCUGCGCCGCAGCCUCGGCAGGUGCUACUUGAAGAGGCGCUUUGGACCCAAACCAAAACCUGCUCCUCUGUCCAGAUGUGAAUUAGAAGGAAAUUAAGGAAUUAGAGCCUUGACUGGACCUAGAAGAACAGCACAGAGAGAAGUAGUGAUGGCCUGGAUCUGCCCUUGGAGCUCAGGAGGGAACACCACAGCUUUAACUCGGAAUCCAUGCUGUUUUUCCCAACAUUUUGAGCUGCAAUAUGCACUUCCCAGGUGCAUUUAGAUUUAGAAUUAUUUUUACAGGCCCCCUUUUCUGCAGCUCAUCCCUGGAGCCCCAAACAGACUUCCCUACACAAUUUCCUUUUUUCUUGUGGUGUUUGUGGGUGUUCAGCUGGGCCUGGGCUGCUUACACCACAAGAAAAAGAGAUUUACACACUGAAUGUAUCUUUUCUUUCCCCUCUUAAAACAGAUUUCACAGCCCAAUGCACUAGGCCAGUGUCUUAAAUACCUUCUUUUGAAAAGAUUCUGGGAAUACUGAGGGGUUUGUGCGUUAAUUUCCUGGUCCUAAAUCCAAGCUGGGCAGAAGUGCAGGAGGCAGUGCCUGGACUGGAGCUUGUCCCCAGCCAAAAACAAGCUUCAUGGGACCUCUCGUGCUCCCAGCUGCCUCCAAAAUAGAGAUGCCAGCUCCCCAAGCAUCACGCACAGUCCAUGGCAUCUGCAUUCAAGGAGACCUUUGGAUGUGGAAUCACAAUCAUGUCGUGGAAGGGUGGCCCAGAUGCAAAGCCAGGAUGAAUGUUUUAUUAAUUUAACACUCUAGAAGUUUGUGUAAGCUUGCACAAAACAACAAAAAUUGUAAAUAAUUACACUCAAAAGGGUAGGAAUGCCCAGCCUCUCCCCUGUAAAGGUCAGGAAUGACACCACCUUUACCAGAAAUUGUGCCAGCUGAGAAGGAAAAUACCUCCUACUGCAUGGUGGAUACAGCAUAGGAUGAAACCAAGUAUUUAUUCACACUUCUCUAAAAGUCCUUUGUAACCCUCAGCUGCCUUCCCCCCGGGAUGAAGGCAUUCCUUGCUGGCUGUGGGACGGGCAUGGGAGUGUCCUCCCAAAAUGUGAAGCUGUCCAAUCCAGAGGGGCUGGGGUUGGUUCCGUGACAGAAGGACCAUGUCUGCCAAAGAUGCCACCGACUCCCAGAAAGCUGCUUUCUGACGCUCUGGAGCUCUCUGGCCGGGAAAAGCCGUACAGAAAGGUCCAUGUUUGGAGUCAGCGAGAUGAGAUAAAUGAAGGAAAAGUGCCAAAAGGGAUCAUGCCAGGUGAUUGUAUGACAUUCUAUAUUGUCAGUAUUUCUCUUCCAAUGCUAUUGUACAUGCAGUGCACAGCAGUCAUGAAGUGUAUAGCUUGAGCAAGCGCUUCUUUGUAUUUUCUCAGUGAAAGCAAAGGGGGAGAUCAAAGCCUUAAAGACUCUCACUGAUUUUAGAAAACAAGCCUUUAGCAAUGCUCUGAGGGCAGGGCUCCUCCUGGGCCUGUCCUGUCUGCCAGCUGGCCAGCGGAAGGUUGGCAAAGAGCUCGUCCCUCACACGAGGGGAAGCAUUUCGGGAGAACCCAGACCCUCUCGCUCAGUGGGGGACGCGGGACAGAAACUCCCACUGUCCAUGGUGGAGCCCCACGGGAUGUCCCGGGGAUGGAAGCGCAGCACGGAGCGGGGAUGAUCCCCGCGUGCACCACCCUGUCCCCUCCCCGUGUCUGUGGAACUCCAUCCCCUCUGGAGUUAGCUCCUCACUAUGCAAACGGGAAAACCUUCAGCUGGGCAAGGACGGGGGGGUGCGCCUGGUUUCCUUGGGAUUUGCUGACGAACUGUUCAAAACCAAUCUCGAUGUCGCUACACUUUUUCUCCAGUAACGCUUUAAAUCGUUGUGCUUUCGUGUUCUCCGCUCGCCAGCACAGCACCAGCUGGCCACAGACUCUCACAGUCGUUCUGGUCCCCGCUGAACCCCUGUGGCUUCACCUGAAUGUGUUACAAAGCGAUGGAAGGCACCAAAGGACCGCUGACUUGCAUGUGUGAAAUGUCUCCGCUGGCACCUCCGUGUGACUGGGAAUGCUGCCAAAGGCUGCUCAAGGACUUGUGUCUGUUCCACUCCCACCCCCUCUGCUCUCCUCAACACUGAGGACAAUGUGUGGUUUCCUCCGGGAAUGUCCCAGCACAGCCAGGGCAACAAGCCAGACCCAAUUCCCACCAAAAGGAACAAAGGUACAAAGAGGCUCAUUAAUGACAGACUUGAGCAAAGACAGGUGAAAACCCAUCAUUUGCUCUCACUAUAGGGAGAUGCAUCUGCCAGGAGACUGGGGCUGUUGUUGAUUCUUUUAACAUAAAACUGAUAAUCCUACAUCAAAGCAGCUAAAUUGGAUCAGUCCAAAUGGCCAUCCAGCUUAGCAUCGCACCUUCUGAAAUGGAGAACAGGGUUCUUUGGCAUGGCAGCUGGGGCCAAGCUGUACACAAAGGGUCUUGUUAAGGAGGAAUAAGCAGCAUCCUCCUCACGUGGCUCGGCCACACAACAGGGCUGCUGUAUUGUGUUGGAGAUCAUAGAACUAUGGAAUAGUUAGGGCUGGAAAAGGCCUCCAAGGCCAUCGAGUCCCCCAGCACUGCAAGGCCACCGCUAACCCAUGUCCCCAAGUGACACAUCCACACGGCUUUAAAUCCCUCCAGGGAUGGAGACUCCACGGCUGGCCUGGGCAGCUGUGCCAGGCCUGGACACACCCUUUUGAGGUCGGACGGGGCUUGGAGCAACCUAAAGUGGAAGGGUCGCCUGCCCAUGGCAGGGGGUGGGACUGGAUGCGUUUUAAGAUCGCUCCCAACCCAAAUCCUGUGAUUCCAUGAUGCG